GCCAGGUACAGUGGCAUGUGCCUGUAACCCAGCUGCUAGGGAGGUUGAAUCAGGAGGAUUGCUUGAGCCCAGCUUGGACAUCACAGCGAGACCCAGUCUCUA
rnacentral:sRNA from 1 species